CUAUUUUUUAAUUUACUUAGAUGGUAUGCAAUCAUUAGGCAUUACUUGUACUGUCUGAAAUGUUCAUCGACAGAAGAAUCGUCAACGCAGCUGCAUACUUUACUUAUGCAGUGUAGGUACAUUUGAUUUAUUUUUAAAUUAUACACCGAUGAAGAAUUGAUUUUAUUUUGUAAUAUGCACUAUUAAUUAUAGAGUUUCAAUAAUGUAAAAAAAAAAAUGUCGAUAUUUUAAUAAACAAGACAAUUUUAAUGAUA